AUUGAACGCUGGCGGCAGGCCUAACACAUGCAAGUCGAGCGGAUGAAGGGAGCUUGCUCCUGGAUUCAGCGGCGGACGGGUGAGUAAUGCCUAGGAAUCUGCCUGGUAGUGGGGGAUAACGUCCGGAAACGGGCGCUAAUACCGCAUACGUCCUGAGGGAGAAAGUGGGGGAUCUUCGGACCUCACGCUAUCAGAUGAGCCUAGGUCGGAUUAGCUAGUUGGUGGGGCAAAGGCCUACCAAGGCGACGAUCCGUAACUGGCCUGAGAGGAUGAUCAGUCACACUGGAACUGAGACACGGUCCAGACUCCUACGGGAGGCAGCAGUGGGGAAUAUUGGACAAUGGGCGAAAGCCUGAUCCAGCCAUGCCGCGUGUGUGAAGAAGGUCUUCGGAUUGUAAAGCACUUUAAGUUGGGAGGAAGGGCAGUAAGUUAAUACCUUGCUGUUUUGACGUUACCAACAGAAUAAGCACCGGCUAACUUCGUG
rnacentral:rRNA from 1 species